ensembl:lncRNA
GUACAGACCUCCAGACUACAGUUUGGCACCGUUCAUGCAAAACCUGCCACAGCAAAGUCUCCAUUCAGGUGUCCUGAGGACAUAUUACAGUUACCACAACCCUGUGUUUUGUGUCCUGUCCUCCAGCCAAUCAUGAAGUCGUCUGGUGAGUUUUGAAACAAUUACAGAUCAUGUUUGUUACAGAGUUUACUGAUUGUAGAGCAUUAAAAAGAUUUUUCAUUGAAAAAUCAUAUUUCUUCAUAUUGUCUUCCCUACUCUGUCUGUAAGAAGAGCCUUUCUUAUUGCAAUGUUAUUAAUCAUUUCACCAAAUCAUGGCUGUACUUCAUGCAGAGCCGGGAGAUCUGCUUUCUGUUAUCAUGCACCUCAGAUCUGAAAUAUGCUGCAAAAAGUAUUAAACGAACAUAAUUUAUUUUUUAAUCUAAUGUUUUAAAUGAGUAAAUCUACUAAUGCAUUUUUUCAUGGAUGUUAAUUGUCAUCUCCUUUUUUGAUACUUUUUUACUCUGACGUAUGUAUCUCAACAAACGAGAGCUUCCCCUCAAAGGGCUUUCAAAUAUGAAAUAGUAAAUAAAUAAAUCCCAGAUAAAUGCAGGUAUUUAUUAUGGGUCACAUGAAUAAUAACAGACAAUUAUAUUUUCUUGAUUAUAGUAAAUUUUGUAGAAUCAAAUGUUUUUGGGAUGAAUGAGGUUUUGCUCAUCAUGUUUUACAGGUAAAAAAUGUUAAAAGUUUUAAACUAUCUUUAGGCUACCAGAGAUGUUUAUAAUGAUUCAUUAUGUAGAGAAAAACAUUUUUACAGCUUACAGAAUAUGUAUAAAAACUGAUUUAGAAGUACAUGGAAAGUUU